UGUAAGCGUAUACCAAAGUUGUUGCAGUUAAAACGCUCGUAGUCGGAAUUUGGCAGUUCCGGAUGUGUGCACGUCGUGUGCGCACUUCGCGGGGAUUGCUUUUGUGGUCUUGCGUAGGAUGAGGCACUUUUAUUAGUGAACGUCCUCACGCAACCACUUUUUACUGUGAGAAAAUCAGAGUGCUCAAAGCAGGCAUUUGCCGUGAAUGUAUUAGCAUGGAAUAAUAGAAUAGGACUUGGUUCAAUUUUGUUGGUUUGUUGGGACUGAGUAAUGAUUAAGAGGGACAGUUGGGGGCAUUUGUAUUUCGGUGCUAGAGGUGAAAUUCUUAGAUUACCGAAAGACAAACUGCUGCGAAAGCGCCUGCCAAGGAUGUUUUCAUUGA
rnacentral:rRNA from 1 species